rnacentral:lncRNA from 10 species
CCUUCCUUUUGGACUAAUGGCUGAGUGACCCAACUGGAUUUCCUUGGCUUGAACCUGAGCAAGCCCUCUCUCUCUAAAGACUUGAAUGCCUACUCCCUUCACUGAGUGGUUUCUUCUGUUCCUGGCCAACUCAGAUGCAAUCCCUAGUGAGCCUGAUGAUCAAACUUCUGAGCGAUCAGAUUCCUGAAAGAGCAGUCUCUCCAUGACAAAAGAUGGAUUUGGAAAUGAGAAAGCAAUUUCUGUAAAACUUCUGCACCUGUGGUAGACUCAGAAACACACACAAGGCUAUAAAUGUCUUUAUGCACUUAUUAAUUUUCCAAUAAACAUACUCAACAGUACACCUAAUAGGGAAGUUCUGUGAUUAAUUUUUCAAACAAUAAGAAAAUAAAUGAUCAGAAAGG